rnacentral:rRNA from 1 species
UGGGGAAUAUUGCACAAUGGGCGCAAGCCUGAUGCAGCCAUGCCGCGUGUAUGAAGAAGGCCUUCGGGUUGUAAAGUACUUUCAGCGGGGAGGAAGGCGAUAAGGUUAAUAACCUUGGUGAUUGACGUUACUCGCAGAAGAAGCACCGGCUAACUCCGUGCCAGCAGCCGCGGUAAUACGGAGGGUGCAAGCGUUAAUCGGAAUUACUGGGCGUAAAGCGCACGCAGGCGGUCUGUCAAGUCGGAUGUGAAAUCCCCGGGCUCAACCUGGGAACUGCAUUCGAAACUGGCAGGCUAGAGUCUUGUAGAGGGGGGUAGAAUUCCAGGUGUAGCGGUGAAAUGCGUAGAGAUCUGGAGGAAUACCGGUGGCGAAGGCGGCCCCCUGGACAAAGACUGACGCUCAGGUGCGAAAAGCGUGGGGAGCAAACA